rfam:Neotoma lepida isolate 417 scaffold_43, whole genome shotgun sequence.
GGUGAGAUGGCUCAGUGGUUAAGAGCACUUGUUGCUCUUACAGANGACCUGGGUUUGAUUCCCAGCACCC